UGUCCCAUGGUGUAAUGGUAGCACACCUGAUUUUGGUUCAGCUUGCCUAGGUUCGAAUCCUGGUGGGACAA
rnacentral:tRNA from 1 species